rnacentral:lncRNA from 1 species
CGUAGACUUGGAUCUGAACCGAUUCAGAUCGGUUUUUAUUUGAACCAAACAAAAUAUUUGGACCUAAGAAAGAGUUACAUAACAAUAUAGAUACAAAAUUUUAAAUAAAUUAAUUCAUAAAUCAUAUAAUUUUAUAAAAUUCUAUGUUUUGAUAUAAUUCAAUAUUGUAACAUAAUAACAUACAAAAAUCAUUAACAUUAUUAAACUUUUUAUUGUAAGAAAACCCGCGCUUUUGAAGCGCGGGUCAAAAUCUAGUGUAUUUUAAAACUGAAGAACAAAUUUUACUCAUGUUUUGGUUAUAAAAUAAGUAAAAAUCAGGUACUUUUAAACCGAAAAACCGAUUGGGACCCGAACCCGAAAGUAUAUUGGGUUGUACUGGUUCUUUGAAGAUUUACUAACCCCGACCCGAACCCGAUAGAACCCGAACCGGUCCCGAACCGAACUUUCAUAUAAUCCGAAUGGGGCUGAUUUUGAUAAACCCGGAAAACCGAAACCCGAUUGGAUAAAACCGAAACCCGUUUGGGACCCCGAAUGCCCAGGCCUAGGAUCUGCCAUUCCAUCUGAGAAAUCCGAAAGAAGAACGUCGGAUAAACUCAAGAAGCAUCAAGUGUUGUAAUUCACCUGUCUUCAUAGAUGCAUCUGUCUUCAACUCUCAUCCAAUUCUCUUUAGACUAUCAAAAACUUAUCAGAAUAUAUUUGAACAAUUUUAGUCUGAAAUAUUGGU